GUGACUUCUUUUCAUGUUAAG
ensembl:piRNA 21ur-3605 ncRNA